GAUACACCUGUUCCCAUUCCGAACACAGAAGUUAAGCUCUCUAGCGCUGAUGGUACUUGGUGGGAAACUGCCUGGGAGAGUAGGACGUAGCCACGUU
rnacentral:rRNA from 15 species